rnacentral:rRNA from 1 species
UACGGAGGGGGCAAGCGUUAUUCGGAAUUAUUGGGCGUAAAGGGCGCGUUGGCGGCUAGAUGUGUCAAAGGUGAAAUCCCUCGGCUCAACUGAGGAACUGCCUUUGAAACUGUCUGGCUUGAGGCCGGGAGAGGGUAGCGGAAUUCCCAGUGUAGCGGUGAAAUGCGUAGAUAUUGGGAGGAACACCAGUGGCGAAGGCGGCUACCUGGACCGGUUCUGACGCUGAGGCGCGAAAGCGUGGGUAGCAAACAGG